CUGACCAGGAGUUGAGCAAGAUCCUGGGCCUCAGCAGAUUCGGCAGCGGGAGAGGUAAGGUAUGGCUACAGGGGACCUGCACAGAGAUGAGCUGACAGCUCCAGGGGCCAGAUAUUCAAAACAUGUGUCCCCAGCUGAGAUGAUCCAGGAAAAUGAAGAGAGACAUUGAUGUGAAGGGAAAAGCACCAACAGCAAUAUAUCAAAUGAAGAGAUGGUUGAAGGCACAAAGAAGUAAUGCCAUGAUGGCAUGACUACUGUGGAUAUAGCCAACAACUUUCUGAUUGGACUUUAGAACUUCUCCACAGGAAGGAAUACAUGUCUGCUACUGUAAGCCAGAGAGAAAAACACGUGGGUCACUGCUGCUAACAACUAUAAUGCAUCAUGAAAGGAAACUUCUUCUUUACAAUCAUGUACCAGAAAGCCUCCUAACCACUUGAACUCUGAGACUAAGUGACUAUUGUGGCAUUCAUAGACAAAGGAAAUAACCAGUCACCCUUCUAAACCUCAGGGAAUGUUCUGGAAGAGGUGGUUUGAAAGAAUGAAAAGUCACAAACGGUACCUGAAUAUGAACCUGCUUAUACCUGAACCUAAAAUGCAGCAGAAUCUGUCCACAGUGUAAAGAGUGUACCAGCCUCCUAGUCAUUACCUCCAACGACAGAGAUGUGCUGGUACAUAAACUCUACUCUCUCCAAAUCAGUUUAGUAAACAUGCGUAUUUUGCAACAUGGGGAUCUAAUAAAGAUUUUUUGUUGUGUUUAUGUUUG